AAAGUACAACGUCACGAUAUACAGAUAUAAAUAGACACAUCAUAUAAUAUUUUGUUAGUACCAAAACAAUAUACCAAAAAAAUAUUGUGUUUGUACAAAGAUGGAUAAUACUAAGAUUUACGCUCUCACAAUGUUAUUCUUACUAGCUUUCUUCACUUUUGCAUCAGAUAUGUGUAUGAAAUCAGAAGGAAAAUGGCUUGAUGAAAAGAAACCAUGUAAGACGGACAAACAAUGUCAAUCUCACUGUGUGAUUGGAUAUGGAAAAUGUGAUUUGGGAAGGUGUUGGUGUUUUGUUCCACCAUCUUCUGUCGAUAGUAUUCCUAUUAGAAUAGACCCAAAUUAAAAAUUCAGAAAUUGCAUAUUGUGAUGAAAUUAUAUUGUCAAGAUAAAAGUUAUAUAUAAAAUAAAUAUCAAUAAUAAAUAAAAAUAUAUAUUUUAUAUUGAAA